AUAAAGAUGGUUGAGUUGGUCUAAGGUGUUGGAUUAAGGUUUUGGCCCUGAAAGGGCAUGGGUUCAAAUCCCAUUCUCAACAUUUAUU